rnacentral:rRNA from 1 species
UACGUAGGGUGCGAGCGUUGUCCGGAAUUAUUGGGCGUAAAGAGCUUGUAGGUGGCUCGUUGCGUCGGGAGUGAAAACCUGCGGCUUAACCGCAGGCCUGCUUCCGAUACGGGCGAGCUAGAGUUCGGCAGGGGAGACUGGAAUUCCUGGUGUAGCGGUGGAAUGCGCAGAUAUCAGGAGGAACACCAACAGCGAAGGCAGAUCUCUGGGACGUAACUGACGCUGAGACGCGAAAGCGUGGGGAGCAAACAGG